rnacentral:misc_RNA from 1 species
GAUGAAGAACGUAGCGAAAUGCGAUAAGUAAUGUGAAUUGCAGAAUUCAGUGAAUCAUCGAAUCUUUGAACGCACAUUGCGCCCGCUAGUAUUCUGGCGGCCAUGCCUGUCCGAGCGUCAUUUCAACCCUCAAGCCCCCGGGCUUGGUGUUGGGGAUCGGCGAGCCUCCGCGCCCGCCGUCCCCUAAAUCUAUUGGCGGUCUCGCUGUAGCUUCCUCUGCGUAGUAGCACACCUCGCACUGGGAAACAGCGCGGCCACGCCGUUAAACCCCCAACUUCUGAACGUUUGACCUCGGAUCAGGUAGGAAUACCCGCUGAACUUAAGCAUAUCAAUAAGCGGAGGA